rnacentral:rRNA from 1 species
GGGGCGCAAGACCUGAUCCAGCCAUGCCGCGUGAGUGAUGAAGGCCCUAGGGUCGUAAAGCUCUUUCGCCAGAGAUGAUAAUGACAGUAUCUGGUAAAGAAACCCCGGCUAACUCCGUGCCAGCAGCCGCGGUAAUACGGAGGGGGUUAGCGUUGUUCGGAAUUACUGGGCGUAAAGCGCACGUAGGCGGACUAGAAAGUAUGGGGUGAAAUCCCAGGGCUCAACCCUGGAACUGCCUCAUAAACUCCUAGUCUAGAGUUCGAGAGAGGUGAGUGGAAUUCCGAGUGUAGAGGUGAAAUUCGUA